AGCAUCUCAUGCUGGAGAUCUGCUGUUUGGUCUGGAGAGCGUUGUUUACAAGGAACAGCUCAAUGUCUCAAAAGGACAUAAAAAAAACAAAAAGCACAAAAAGGCUUUCAGGAAACUGAAGCGACACGAAAAGAAAGCAGAUAAACCUCCAGAGGAGAAGAAGGACACGUUCAUGGAGAAACUCGCCACCCAGGUGAUCAAAAACCUGCAGGUGAAGAUCAGCAGCAUCCAUCUGCGUUACGAGGAUGAUCUGUCAGACCCACAGCGCCCCCUAUCGAUGGGAGUGACGCUGUCAGAGCUCAGCCUGCAGACCACAGACGAGAACUGGAAGCUCUGCAUUCUGAACGAGGCUGCAAAGAUCAUCUAUAAG